GCAGGUGUAGCUCAGUGGUAGAGCGCGAAUUCCAUCGUGCGAUCCCUUGCCCGUCAUCGGGCCGAAAGCGUGAUGGUUAUCAUUAGGGUUGACGAGGCCGCUGGUUCGAUUCCAGCCACCUGUA
rnacentral:tRNA from 1 species